rnacentral:rRNA from 1 species
CAUUAACGAAUUGUAAUGGGGGGUUGAUGCUGGAAGCUGUUUCUUUCGCUGCAUGUGCUCGCCCCCCCAACAAUCUUCAUCCAAAUGCCACCUGUGCACAUUUNGGAGGGUCUCCGAGUUUGAUUGCCUGUUGUUGGCCGCACCAGGUUUUCUUCGGGGGGUUCCCUUCCUCUCCUUAUAUACACUGCUUCAAUAAUAUUGAACGUGAUUGUGCCGCAAAGGCCUUUGUUGCAAUACAACUUUUAACAACGGAUCUCUUGGCUCUCGCAUCGAUGAAGAACGCAGCGAAAUGCGAUAAGUAAUGUGAACUGCAGAAUUCAGUGAAUCAUCGAAUCUUUGAACGCACCUUGCGCUCCCUGGUAUUCCGGGGAGCACGCCUGUUCGAGUGUCGUGAAAUCCUCAAGCUUGGGUGCUUUUUCAUCUUAAGCUUGGUAAUUGGGCUCUGCUGGUCCUUUCAUUGGAACAGCUGGCCUUAAAAUCAUUAGCUGAUCCUCAUGUUGUGGCGUUGGUUUUACUCAGCGUGAUAAUGAAUCUGACCGCUGGGGACAUCUUUCGGGAUGGCCAAUUCUCAUCUUGGGUUGCUUCUAAUUUGGCUUUUACGCAUAUUCUUUUUUGACCUCGAAUCAGGCGGGACUACCCGCUGAACUUAAGCAUAUCAAUAAGCGGAGGAA